rnacentral:lncRNA from 1 species
AAAAAUAAAAAAUAGUCGAUGUUUUUUGAAAAAUUAAAAAAGUCAAUUUUUUCUGAAAUAAAAGUUCAUUUUUUUUGAAAAUAAAAAAAACAGUUUAAAAAAAAAUAAAGUCAAUUUUUUUCAAAAAUAUAAAAAUAUAUAUCAUUUAAAAAAAAAUCAACUUUUGAAAAUGUUGGGGCCUUGAGUCUCUAUUUUAAUUUUUGGGGCCUUUAGGCUCUAUUUUAAUUUUAGGGAUCUUUAUUUUAACGGCCUCCAUAUUUUGAGAGGUUUUAA